AGAUGCCUCCUCUGGCUCCUCCUUCACUGCACCUCCUCUAAAGUGGCGACAAUGGCCGACGCCAUGCCGACGGUUCCCUAUAAAAUUAACUCGCCCCCAAGCCCCUCUUCUCUUUCUAGCACCUCCCGGAGCAUCCCAGCACCACCGCGGACUCCUACCUCUCCUUCCUCCCUUCUCCCAAUGACCAGAGCAUAGCCCCAAGAAUGUUGUGUCUGGUCUCCCCCGCGGCUAGGUCGCCCUCUCCCCGGUGCUCCCCCGACGGGAAUGACACCCCAGGCAGGCGUGGGGCUUCCUCCCAAGUCCUCCGGUGGCUGGAGCACCGCUAGAGGUAGCCGGUGCCGCUGGGGCAACGCUGGCGAGCGCUCGGCCCCGACGCCCCUGUCUCGCCCUUGCUCAAGUGGGAGGUGGAAGAUGAACUGACGGCCGGGCCCCGCGCGUCCAAGGAGCCAAAGUCGGGCCUCUCAAUUUAAGUGGAGGCACCUACCCCCGUUGUUCCUUCGCCGGAAGAAGGCAUAUUGCGGGCAAUACGCUUUCACUGUGGCCCUUCGCGCGCAGGCUAGAGUACUGGGACGACCCAUUUGCUAUCUUGCGCCCCCGGUGCAGUAUAGUCUUUGGUACUCCCUGUGCUUUUUUCCUUUUCGAGUAAAUACUAUUUAAUCCUAAUAAAUUCAUAUGGGCUCCAAAUUUAGUGAUUCAAAUUCCUAGGAACUCGUAAAAUCUUUUCCUAUCCAGAUAUGUGGCUUGCACAUUUUUCCAGAGAGUUUUUCUUCACUGUCCUAUUCAAAACUUCAACUUUGAAUAUUUCAAACCCACCUUGUAAAAUUCCUACAAAGCUCAAAUCAACUCCAAAUGGAGUGAUUCCAAUUUCCAGAGACUUAUAAAAUCAUGCUCUGAUUUUCUGUCCUUAUUCAGCAUUUUUCUCUGCCAUAUUUCUAUUGCAUCAAAUAAAUAGUACCAAUUUUUAUUUAUUCCAUGUUACAAAAUACAUAGAAAAAUCAUACCAACUCUAAAUCCUGUGAAACCACUUCCUAAAUAUUUCUAAAAUUAUGCCCUAUUAAAUGAGUUCCUCACUCAUUUUUAGCAGAUAUUUUGUGUAGACUUCUUGUGGGGCCAGUGAGGCAUCCAUUUCCACCAUUCAAAAAUCUCUGGUGAUCCAAAUCCCUUAGAACAACUUUAGCCAUUUUCUUAUGACUAGAGAUGUCCAAGAGUAAUAAAACUCCUAUUUAUAGAGCACUCUGUGUUUCUUCUUGUUUUGUGGCUUAUCGUUGUUGUUUCCGACGAUAGUUGGCAAAAUAAGCGGAGUACUCGGAGUUAGACCGGAAGACCUCGAAGGCCCCGGGGACCUAUUUGAGCAAGGCAAGCAGCCCUCUGACAAUGCCUAAGAAAUUUUACUUGCAUGUCAUAUGAUGCUUGACUUAUGCACAUAUUCCUGUUGGAUUGGAGACCCCCGCCCCCCUUGUUGGGUUGUCCCCGAAAAACACCUUGUUGAGACCUGCAUUUGGGCAUGACCCUACCACCAAUGAGGGUUGUGCAUGUGGGAUGUAGCUAGUUGGAAGUAGUUGCUACGCAAAAAAUGGUGGGAACAUGCAUGGUGACGAUGAAGGGUGUGUUACAAAGGUUUUCCAAAAACCCCGUCGGGUGCCACUAAUGCCCGAGGGUUAUGGUGUUGAGAUG
rnacentral:lncRNA from 1 species